CAGAGGGUGCGAGCGUUGUUCGGAAUUACUGGGCGUAAAGCGCGCGCAGGCGGCCCUUUAAGUCUGCCGGUCAAACGCCGGGGCUCAACCCCGUGCUCGCCGGAGAUACUGGAGGGCUGGAGACAGGUAGAGGCGAGUGGAAUUCCGGGUGUAGCGGUGGAAUGCGUAGAGAUCCGGAAGAACACCGGAGGCGAAGGCGGCUCGCUGGGCCUGGUCUGACGCUGAGGCGCGAAAGCGUGGGGAGCAAACAGGAUUAGAUACCCUGGUAGUCCACGCCGUAAACGAUGGGCACUAGGCGCUGGGGGGAUCGACCCUCUCAGUGCCGUAGCUAACGCGUUAAGUGCCCCGCCUGGGGAGUACGGCCGCAAGGCUG
rnacentral:rRNA from 1 species